AAAUGUAGGUAGAAGACAUUAAAUGAUUUUUCCUCACCACUGGAAAAUGUCACUUAGGGGGUGUUAUUCGUUAAUGGAUUUUAAUAGAAUUGAAAUCCAACACUAAUCCACUGUUAUUUAACUAAUGAUUCUAAAUCCAGCUUUAAAAUCUAGUGUUAUUGGAACUCAUAUUUGUAAAUCAUGCUUAAUAGAUUCUAAAGUUUGGUGUUAUUCAAUUAAGAUUUUAAAUAUUUCAUUAAAAUCCAAUGUUAUUCAAAACUAAAAGACUUGUAAAAUCUUUGUAUAUUAAUUGAUUUGAAAUGAAAGCUCUUUGGAGUUUCAUGAGUAAAUCAUUGGAAUCAAAAUCCAAGACAUAUUGCAGAGAUUUUGAAAUUCAUACAAACAUAUUCUUAAAAGCAAUAUCAGAAAACAAAUCUAAAGCUUAAAUAAUUGACUUUAACUCCAUAAUUGAAUAACACCACCUUA
rnacentral:sRNA from 1 species